UUGGGGUUUCGAAAUCAAGAG
rnacentral:miRNA from 1 species